rnacentral:rRNA from 1 species
UAACAAGGAUUCCCCUAGUAACUGCGAGUGAAGCGGGAAAAGCUCAAAUUUAAAAUCUGGCGGUCUUAUGGCCGUCCGAGUUGUAAUCUGGAGAAGUGUUUUCCGCGUCGGACCGUGUACAAGUCUCCUGGAACGGAGCGUCAUAGAGGGUGAGAAUCCCGUCCAUGACACGGACCGCCGAUGCUUUGUGAUACACUCUCGAAGAGUCGAGUUGUUUGGGAAUGCAGCUCAAAAUGGGUGGUAAAUUCCAUCUAAAGCUAAAUAUUGGCGAGAGACCGAUAGCGAACAAGUACCGUGAGGGAAAGAUGAAAAGCACUUUGGAAAGAGAGUUAAACAGUACGUGAAAUUGUUGAAAGGGAAACGCUUGAAGUCAGUCGCGUCUUUCAGAACUCAGCCUUGCUUCGGCCUGGUGUACUUUCUGUUAGACGGGUCAACGUCAAUUUCGAUCGGCGGAGAAAGGUUGAGGGAAUGUAGCGUUGUUUCGGCGACGUGUUAUAGCCCUUUUCUGUAUACGUCGGCUGGGAUUGAGGACCGCAGCGCGCCUUUAUGGCCAGGGGUUCGCCCCAUGUACCGCGCUUAGGAUGUUGGCAUAAUGGCUUUAAGCGACCCGUCUUGAAACACGGACCAAGGAGUCUAACAUGCUUGCGAGUAUUCGGGUGGAAAACCCUUGUGCGUAAUGAAAGUAAAAGUUGGGAGCCUCCGCGAGGGGGUGCACCGACGCCCGGCCCUGACGUUCUCUGACGGUGCUGCGGUAGAGCAAGUAUGUUGGGACCCGAAAGAUGGUGAACUAUGCCUGAAUAGGGUGAAGCCAGAGGAAACUCUGGUGGAGGCUCGUAGCGAUUCUGACGUGCAAAUCGAUCGUCAAAUUUGGG